rnacentral:snRNA from 1 species
GUGCUCGCUUCGGCAACACAUAUACUA